rfam:Triticum aestivum genome assembly, contig: Triticum_aestivum_CS42_TGACv1_scaffold_513588_6BS
AUAUUACUCCCUCCGUUCGAAAUUACUUGUCAAAAAAUGAAUGUAUCUAGAUGUAUUUUAGUCGUAGAUACAUCCAUUUAUAUGACAAGUAAUUUCGAACGGAGGGAGUAUAUC